GGUGAAAUAAAAAGAAGAAAAUAAAAGGGGAAAAGGAUAUAGCCUUUGUCAGGUAGGUCCUACAAUUAUUAUGAAAAUAGAGGCCGCAAAGUAGGAGCUAUUGUUCAAGUCGAGAGCAAAAUUCAAAACCCCAAAAAGUUGGAACAGCCACUGAUCAAGAAAAUAGGAGCCUUAAGUAGGGACUUUCCCUAUUGCUGGAGAUCUCUACAGGAUUCAGGGACCUGAAAAUUUCAUUCACUGCAAUUUUUCUCUCUUGCCACUCACGUCCGCAGCGCCCUCUCAGCUCUCCAAGUCUCCAACCUUAUCCCUUUCCCUACUCGCGAGAAUAAUUUCUAUCUCUAUCUCACCCAAUCCGCUCCAAUGAGCGGGAUUUUAGGGGCUCCGAGGUUGGAGCUGUUAAAAAAAACACCGUUUGUGAGUUAAAAGCCGGUUCUGGAGGCCCUCAAAAACCCCUGCCAAAGGGGCUCGGAGAGCCGCACACGGCGGCAGUGGCAGCCCCCCGUCCACGGGAGCAGCCGAUUUCCGGCGAGGGCGGAGACGGCACAGUGAGGGCUCCUCGACCGGCGGCAGCGUCCCCCGCCGUCCCGUCCAUGGGACGGAAUGGCCAAGCGCCGGUGAGGGAGGCGGCGCACAUGAGGAGCCCCCGCCCGCCGUCCAGCCGCGCGGCCCCCUAUCUUUCGGCCGCCAGAUCCCGUCCCUGCCGCGGCGCCCGUCCUCCCGGCGCCCGCCGAAUCCAUUCCCUGCUGCAGCCGUCCGCCCGCCGACUCUCGUCCCUGCCGCGGCUGUCCGUCCACCGAGUCCCGUCCCUGCCAUGGCUGUCCGCUCGAAGCUCCACUGAAUUACGAGGAGUGAGCUCGUCCUCUGACGGGUUGGAGUCCUCUGCUGAUCCAGGUGUCUAGCAGAUAAGUAGAGUGCAGUAAAGCCAUCAGGGAGCUAAUAUUCAUCAUAUUUUCUCUUUAUGAUAAAUGGGACUGACAGAGAUACAUCGGUGUUUGAUGCUACUAGAUUAGUUAGGAAAUUUUAUUUUCUUUGUGUAAUAUUUAUUUUUCUAAGGUGGACAGAUGCGUAAUAAAGAACAUGU